rnacentral:lncRNA from 1 species
CAAAUCUGAUUGCAGGUUGGGCUUGCCAAACACAACAAUGCUGAUUAAGGAAAUGGGGUGCGCUAAUUUCUGAUUGCCUUCUUUCACUUUUCUUCUUUCUUCUUCUUUUUUUAUAUUUUUUGUACCUUGCCUUUUUUUUGCUUUUCUUUGUUGUUUAUUUCCUUGUUUUUGAUAACCAGAUCCGAUUCCCCAAAGCAUUCCAAUCAAUAAGGCUGACAACGUGCCAACAAAACAAGCAGGGAGGAAAAAAAGACGUGGGGCGUAUGAACGAAAAAGAAAGGUGGUGAACGACAGAUGUGGGAUGUUUGAUCGAAAAAACGGUGGUGACAAUGGAACUACGAGGCAAUCAGCAACACUUGACGCAAAUGCACACAAAUUCAAUAAUACAAGGUUAAUGAAAGAAAAUGCAAGACCAAAUGGUUCUGGGACAAGGUUCUAGCCUAAUUUUUUUGUAGCUUUUCUGGUGGACGUUGCGUAACACCCUGAAUUUGGAGGUAUAAAAUUUCUUCUCUAAUGCCUACCAAAUUCAGGUGUUACCUCUUGUCUCUCUCUCUAGACUUCUUCUCUCCUCUUUUUUUAUUAGGAUUAUGUCAAUUAGGUGAGGUAUUAACUAUUUAUGUAUUAUAUCAAAACCAAAGUGAUUCAUGAAAUAUUGCAUCAUGCUGAGCCUAAAUUAUUCUUUUGUUUGAUGCACAUGUGUGACAUUGUUUGAAUUUGAAUUUGGUUUGAAUUUGAUUUGAAAUCCAUAAAAAAAUAAAAAGAAAAGCCUUUAGAAAUUUGGAGAAAAAGGAAAAUAGAAUUC